AGAGUAGGAGCAUUAUAUAAUCUUGCAAUUAAAUCUGUCCUUUAGUGGGUUUGUAUCCCUGGGGUGUGACCUUCACAACUGUUUCUCUGGUGGUAUGGACUAAUUUUCCUUAGAUUCCCACUUCUUUCCCAAACUGCAGUGUUCCCAAUUUAUGUCCUUGAAGCCCUGGUCCUUGUUGACUAUGUAUUUCUGCUCUUUGGUGAAAUGGAAGGGUUAGCGUAGGCUGGAGCAAGAGAAAUUUCCUUCUCCAAGCUGGGAUAAGGUUCCGGCAUAGCCUUUUCUACUGAAGAGUGUGCCUUUGUUAUGGAGAAUGCUCUGAGUGUAUUUCAAAAUGAUUCAUUUUUCCCUCCACUUUACAGAGCCAUAAGGGGACUUUUCUCCCGUCUUCACCAUCAGAAUCUGGUAGAGCUCCUGGAGCAACCUGCAUGAUGUCACUGCUAUAGCACUAUGAUUUUCAUAUUACAUACUCUUGAGACACUUUCCAGAGUAUAUAUGGCUAUGUUAUAGCAUGGUAAGUAUUACAAUGUGUAUGUCUGUGUGCCUAUGUAAUAAUUUUUAUGAUGCUCUACUGGUCUUCAAUGGAGUCUGGAUGAUUUCAGGUUUGUGAAAGGAGCAUUAAAAUUUUUCUCUAGAUACUAUGCUAAUAUAUCUAAGAUACUUAUUUCAUAUAUUUUUUCAACUUUAUCUUAUUCUUUUCCUGAAAUAAGAAUCAGGAGGUACAUGUGCAGAUUUGUUACAAAGAUAUAUUGCUUGAAGUUGAGGUUUGGAAUAAACAUGAAUCAGCCAGAUAGUGAGCAUAGUGCCCAAUAGGUAGUUUUUCAAUCCUUUCCUCCUUCUUUGCCUCCUCUCUCUUGUAUUCCCCAA
rnacentral:lncRNA from 1 species